GGUAUGUUAAGCUCUAUCAGCAGGGAAGAUAAUGACGGUACCUGACUAAGAAGCACCGGCUAAAUACGUGCCAGCAGCCGCGGUAAUACGUAUGGUGCAAGCGUUAUCCGGAUUUACUGGGUGUAAAGGGAGCGCAGGCGGUGCGGUAAGUCUGAUGUGAAAGCCCGGGGCUCAACCCCGGUACUGCAUUGGAAACUGUCGUACUAGAGUGUCGGAGGGGUAAGCGGAAUUCCUAGUGUAGCGGUGAAAUGCGUAGAUAUUAGGAGGAACACCAGUGGCGAAGGCGGCUUACUGGACGAUAACUGACGCUGAGGCUCGAAAGCGUGGGGAGCAAACAGGAUUAGUCACCCUGGUAGUCCACGCCGUAAA
rnacentral:rRNA from 1 species